rnacentral:rRNA from 1 species
AUUGAACGCUGGCGGCAGGCCUAACACAUGCAAGUCGAACGAGUGGCGGACGGGUGAGUAAUGUUUGGGAAACUGCCCGAUGGGGGGGGAUAACUACUGGAAACGGUAGCUAACACCGCAUACCAUGGGAUGUGACCCAAUGGGAGUAGCUAGUAGGUGGGGUAAAGGCGCACCUAGGCGACGACCCCUAGAUGGUCUGAGAGGAUGACCAGCCACACUGGAACUGAGACACGGUCCAGACUCCUACGGGAGGCAGCAGUGGGGAAUAUUGCACAAUGGGCGCAAGCCUGAUGCAGCCAUGCCGCGUGUAUGAAGAAGGCCUUCGGGUUGUAAAGUACUUUCAGCGGGGAGGCGUUACCCGCAGAAGAAGCACCGGCUAACUCCGUGCCAGAAGCCGCGGUAAUAC